rnacentral:rRNA from 1 species
CACGUAGGUGGCGAGCGUUGUCCGGAUUUACUGGGCGUAAAGGGCGUGCAGGCGGUUUGUUAAGUGCAGGGUGAAAGCUCCCGGCUCAACUGGGAGAGGUCCUUGCAUACUGGCGAACUCGAGGGAGGCAGAGGAAAGUGGAAUUCCCGGUGUAGUGGUGAUAUGCGUAGAUAUCGGGAGGAACACCUGUGGCGAAGGCGGCAUCCUGGACCAACACUGACGCUGAGGAGCGAAAGCGUGGGGAGCAAACAGG